rnacentral:rRNA from 1 species
GUGAGGAAUAUUGGUCAAUGGACGAGAGUCUGAACCAGCCAAGUAGCGUGAAGGAUGAAGGUCCUACGGAUUGUAAACUUCUUUUAUAAGGGAAUAAACCCUCCCACGUGUGUGAGCUUGUAUGUACCUUAUGAAUAAGCAUCGGCUAACUCCGUGCCAGCAGCCGCGGUAAUACGGAGGAUGCGAGCGUUAUCCGGAUUUAUUGGGUGUAAAGGGAGCGCAGACGGGUCGUUAAGUCAGCUGUGAAAGUUUGGGGCUCAACCUUAAAAUUGCAGUUGAUACUGGCGUCCUUGAGUGCGGUUGAGGUGUGCGGAAUUCGUGGUGUAGCGGUGAAAUGCUUAGAUAUCACGAAGAACUCCGAUUGCGAAGGCAGCACACUAAUCCGUAACUGACGUUCAUGCUCGAAAGUGUGGGUAUCAAACAGGAUUAGAAACCCGGGUAGUCC